AACAUUGCACCAAUAGCAGCUGUAACAUUGCACUUAUAACAGCUAUAACAUUGCAAAUUAGUGCAAUGUUACAGCUGCUAUUGGUGCAAUGUUACAGCUGCUA
rnacentral:pre_miRNA from 1 species